rnacentral:lncRNA from 1 species
GACUUUUUCCACCACGGGCCCUGGGGGUCCAUCUUUUAGCUGGCACAUCCUGUACCCUCCUCCGCCUGGGCGGUGUGGCUGCUGACAGCAUCUCCAGACAAAGGGCAGAUCCAUCCAGCUUCAGUAGCCUCCGGUUAAGUGAGCUCUGCAGCUUCAACAAUGGAGGUGGCGACUUGUAACAACAGAGGGAUGGUGGGCAGCAGUAAGCCAGAGAACACGUCUUCUGACCGGGAUACUAAGUCGGCCCUGCCCGGGCGCCCGCUGUCAGACCGCUCCGAGAUGCUGCACAGCCAGACUGACUCCUUCCUCAUGGCAGCCCGACUCGUCCGCAGGGGAUGGCCCAAUGAAGGGAACAAAACAAACAGGCAGUUAUCACAAUCUGAUGGUUCAGCACGUCAACCCAUUUUCACCAGAAGAGGUUGGACUCUUGAUAUGAGCAGUGGGAAGACAUCCCUGGAUGGAAAGACAGGCUUUGAAAAAGAUGAUAAAGCCAAAGAGACAUCGGAAGGUGCAGCCUCACCAAACAGACCAGCAGAAAGACAGACAGGUGUAGUCUAUGUGUGGAAGUCUGGCUGUCGUGCCACAAGCAGUCAGACCAGAAGAUUUAAGGCCCCGGUGCUACCAGCCAUUGCUGAAAUUGAAGUUUAA